GACGAACGCUGGCGGCGUGCCUAACACAUGCAAGUCGAGCGAAUGAAGUUCUUUCGGGAAUGGAUUUAGCGGCGGACGGGUGAGUAACACGUGGGCAACCUGCCUCAUAGAGGGGAAUAGCCUUCCGAAAGGGAGAUUAAUACCGCAUAAGAUUGUAGUACCGCAUGAUACAGCAAUUAAAGGAGCAAUCCGCUAUGAGAUAGGCCCGCGGCGCAUUAGCUAGUUGGUGAGGUAACGGCCCACCAAGGCGACGAUGCGUAGCCGACCUGAGAGGGUGAUCGGCCACAUUGGGACUGAGACACGGCCCAGACUCCUACGGGAGGCAGCAGUGGGGAAUAUUGCACAAUGGGGGAAACCCUGAUGCAGCAACGCCGCGUGAGUGAUGACGGCCUUCGGGUUGUAAAGCUCUGUCUUCAGGGACGAUAAUGACGGUACCUGAGGAGGAAGCCACGGCUAACUACGUGCCAGCCGCCGCCGUAA
rnacentral:rRNA from 1 species